GUCUGAUCUUCUAGUGACCCCGGAAGUCCUGAGUGAACACGCAAGGCACCUGCAGGACCCACUGGUGUCCACUGAUCUCUCAGAGCUGCUGGGGAUCAUGGACACUUUGUGACCAUCAAUAGUGCAAAAGCUCUGACCACCUUCUUGGCUCAGGCUCUUCUCUCUGGGGAAAACAGAUCAUGAAAGAUGGUACCAGCAAUAGCCUUGGAAAGCAGACCCUCAGAAAAGGGUUUUGAAACUGGAUUACUUAACAGUUAGACAUUAAUAAGAACACCCUCCUCCCCUGCUGGUGGUAAGAACCUCUGUUAUUCAAUAGCAUCACAAUUACUAAGACUUUCUCCUUCAGCUAUAACAUUUUGGUAUAGGCUAGUUUUUGUUAAGUGUGUUGGAAGCCUUGAAAAAAAGAAAAUGAAGUCUCAGAAGAGCCAAUCAUCAAGGCUAACAAACUGUGAAACCCAGAGGGCCUAUGUGGAAGAUUUGAAGGAGAAAGUUGUCUCCUUCAGCUACAGGGCAGAGUUGACUGAACACUGGGUUCGGAAUACAAUCAUAAGAAUGGCAGAGCUUAAA